GCACAGUCCGAAGUUCAGCCUCUAGUUCGUGUUGUUGUUCUCUUGAUCCACCGCAAACGGGUUAAUUACUAACACCUUCGCUCCCGGUGGCCUGCGAUGCACAUUACUACCGCCAGGUGGCCACCGACAGGUUUGCCUCAUAUUGGUUUGACCCAUAGAGAAUGAUAAAGGACUCUAGCGGUCAAAAAGUCAUUUUAGCAAUGGGCGGCGCCAUUUAGGGCUUCCACCGUACUUCUGCCAUUUAAAGUAGUCAGCUGGAUGGGGAUUCCUAUGGGUUGUAGCCUCAAUGGUGCGGCCCAUGCUGUCACAGGCACUAUAAUGGCACAGAUAUAAAAGACGAGUCCUCUAUCUAUCUCUAUGGUUUGACCGCUAUUUGAGUUUUCUGGGCUUAUUAAGAUGUGUCCUAUUGAAGAAUUCCAGAGGAACCUGCUGAGGCGAAAGCGGCUCUUAGUAAUGUCUGGAACAGAGCGAAUGGAAUGGCAUCAAACCAAUGUGUUAGAUGUAUUUGAUACUGUUCAACUUAUUCCGUAGCACGAGUAUGUCCUCCCCAUGACACCAACCUCCUGUGGUAUGUGAUAUUAUUGAGAUUUGUUGAGAUUAGCUCAGUACCAGGCCUUACAAUGCAGCAGUGUUGCUGAAACAGCUUAACACAUCAAGUGACCGGAGGUCUACAAGUCCUUCCCUCUCCUUCCCUCUCCUUCCCUCUCCCACAUCCGUCUCUCCAACAUUCAGACUGACAACGUACUUUCCCUUAUCGCACAUAGUUUGGUGAGGAGAACACCCUCGUUCUAAUAACUGGAGCAGAAUCAGACAUCAAACACGUGGUUUCCAUGGUUUCCAGGUGGUUCAUUCCAUUCCAUUCGCUCUGUUCCGGUUAUUAUUAAGAGCCGUUCAAAGUUUAUAUAUGACUCUGUUAAUUACCAACAUCUUACUUCCUCUCUCUCUCUCUCCCCAUCUUCUGCUGAACUUUACCCCCACUAGCACCAUGUCUUCAGAUAGUGGAUCCAUGAGCUAAUAUCUAUAAGAAUUGUCUCUCUGGAUAGUUUGUUAUCAAGUAGAUAUGUGAUCGAUAUGUGUCACUAUCAGGGUUUUGGAAAGUUGACAUGUAAAGCAAACAGAGAAAGUGACAGUAGUU
ensembl:lncRNA